GGGUCAGUAGGUUGGUCGUGCCUCCGGUACGUACUGGUCUCACUGAUUCCUCCUUCCUGAAGAACCGUAAUGCCAUUAUUUUGGUGUUGCGGGGAAACAGGACUGUUACUUUGAAAAAAUUAGAGUGUUUAAAGCAAGCUAACGCUUGAAUACAUUAGCAUGGAAUAAUGAAAUAGGACGAUCGAUCCUAUUUUGUUGGUUUCUAGGAUUGACGUA
rnacentral:rRNA from 1 species